CAAAUAAUUCAGACUUCACAAAGAUCCACACCUAACUAGAUGGAUAAAUAAAUGUAUUACAAAGUUAGUAAUGCAGGAUAAAAGUCGUGACAUAAUAUAAUGUAAGUGAAAUUCCCAAUGGAAGUGGUUCGUGUCCCGACAAAAAUGGACAUUCUGAACUGCAAGUUAAAAGUGAAAGUAGACUAAAACUACAGUAUGAGAGCUAAUACAUAUAUAAAUAAGUAUUAAACAAUAUAGAAGUACACAAUUCUAUGAUUUCUACAACAUCAAGUCAUAAUUAUUACAUAACGAGCGUAAACUACUAAUUUUGGAGUCCCUUCAACAUGCAUAAACGACAUGUAAACAAUCAAUUUCCGGUGACAUUCCAGAAAUGUACUUUAACACCAUAUGUAAACAAACGGAUAACUUACAAUGGAACCAGAUGGAAUUUAACAGGGGUGUGAAUAACGAAAUAUCUUAACAAAAAUAAAUAAUAACAAUAUAACAUUUGAGACCAUUUUAACUUAUUUAUGGAUCAUAAAAAGGACAUAAUAAGGAACCAAUUUCUGGCCGGCACAAC
rnacentral:lncRNA from 1 species